AGCAUGUUAGCUCAGGGGAAGAGCGCCGGGCUCAUAACCCGGAGGUACGUUUCACCGCAACCAAAUUGACCCACAAACAUCCAACUAACAACUACAACAGGACCCUGGAUCGAAACCAGGACAUGCUA
rfam:Penicillium camemberti str. FM013